CUCGGUGCUGCGCGCUGGGCUAAUAUGUUACGCGCUUGCAGCGCU
rnacentral:sRNA from 1 species